rnacentral:lncRNA from 1 species
GCCUGAUCCGAUGGUUGAUCCAAACUGCGCCUUAGAAUACUUUUCACAAUGGAAACUGACAGCUCUCAUAUAAAGAAUUCAUGGGCUACCUGUUCACAGGGACAAUAUAGGUAAACCUCUUUCAAGGACAGUAAACUUUUCAAAUGACUGAACAUUCUGGAUUACACUGAAAACAGUACCUUGUUUUAGUGCAACAAUCCUUCUGUGUAAUUUUAGGAAUAUACAUAAAUAAUGAGGGAAGCUGAGCAGGGAAAAUCUCGGUCAGUGAUACAGCAAUUGGAUUGACAAGAGCAUACGGGAGGACUGUGCAAUAGAAAAGCUGAUAAACAAACAUAAAAGCCUAGCAAGGAGUCAACAGACUACACAGAAAGAGUAUUUUUUUUCUGCCUCAUGUUUUACAUAAGACAGGAUGAAACAACCGUUUAAAGAUCAGUUAGAACAGUUAGAAGCCCAGUCUUCUUCCAUACAGGGCUUUGCUAUCACGUCAAGAUGUGAAUGUCUUUGAGCUACACCUGACUUCAACAGGCCAAUUCUUGAGUUCAUGGGUUUCAGGCAAUGGCUUUACAGUCCUGCUUUCGCCCACAAUCCAAACAGCUGUAAACAGGACUAUUCACAGAGAUGAGAUAGCAGAUUCUGAUCUAUUCAUCACCCAUAACUAGGAAGACUCAGAUGAACUCAUCCCAGAAAAUAUUAAAUUUAUGCAAG